UUUUGUCUGAGGAGAUUUGGCAAAGCAUCAUAUAGAUGUAUAUAUGAAAUUAAAUUUCUUAUAUGGAGCUUUUAGCUAUGGAGAAAACGAAUUGCAUCUCACAUAAAUGGGAUGAGACUUAGCUAUUUGUAACCUCGUUACAAUGAAAUAACUAAAAUUGUAAAGAGACAUUAAAUAAUAAUCUGCCUGCCUAAACAUGGGUUUUCUAGUUUGAAAUGAAUGCCUUGCAUCUAGAUUAAUAAGGUGACGCAAGACACUACAUCAUCUGGCAGGGGAAGAUUUAAAGCAGGUCAGGUUCCUUGGGAGGAGAGAAAAAUAACUUUUAAGAUGAAAGACCAAAAAAAAAAAGAAAAAAAAAAGAAAAAGAAAAACUUGUGUGUGGUC
rnacentral:lncRNA from 1 species